rnacentral:sRNA from 1 species
AGGCUGCAGUGAAUUCUACAAAGAGGCUAUGGGAAAGAAACCUGGAAAGUACCCUUGGCUGUGUACAUUUGAGUAAAGAGAGCACUAUAAAAUCAAAAACCAAUGAAAUGGUUUCCAGAACACAGAACUAUUAAGCUUAAGAAAAGGACAGAAGGAACUGAAGAGAGAGGAACUGUUUUGGAGCAUCACACUUCCACCUCAGAAGAAAUAAGGAAGGAAGGAGGAGGGUGUUCCCACGGCUCUUCAACCAGGCGGGCUCUUCAGCCUACAUCCCCAUCUCAUCAAGUAAAAGGGAUUUUUCAACUGGACCAACCAGAUGGUUUAACAGUGCACUCCCACACCAUUCAACUACGCAAGGGAGAUACACUUAACAUAUGCAGUCGUAUAACACCUACUAACAUUUUCAAACAUUAAACCUUUAAAAAAGAGUUCUAAAGAAAUAGAAGCUUGAAGUAUCAUCUCUCAAGUAUAUAGACACUACUUCAUGGUGUGGUAAUAUAUGCAUAUAGAAGCUAGUAAACACCUCCAGGAGAUGCAAAAGGAAUUAGAACUGCCACAAGGUGCAAGCAAAACCUUGAGGUAAUCAAUCUGCAUCCCAUUUUGGAUGAGAAUAUUUGCAACUUUGAAGGUUAUUUUAAGGACAGCAGCAGAAGAAUUAUGGCAGCUUCUUUAAAAUAUGAAGACUUCAAAGUUAUUUAUCCAAACCAACCUGAUCAUUUCUUAAGAGUGAAUAUACCUUGGAAGAUGUGUCCUGCCUUUAGUAGCGUCACAAUGGAUUACAUCCUCUAUAAAGCAGUCUGGGGUGAGAAAAUCGAAUUUGGACACCGUUGAGGAGACUAUUGCAGUCAUCCAAGCUCAAGAUGGUGGAGCUUCAUCCUUGAGAAUAACCAAUGGGGAUAGAUUUAAGAGACACUUAGAGUCUGCAGCCAACAGGGCUGAAUGAGCAUUCUGUUUUUCCUCUUCUAAUCCUUCACCCAUCUGAGCUAAAGUCUAGACCUAAGGAGGCUACUAAUUCAGGGAUCGAGUAAUCUGCCAAGCAAGAGUUUAUUCAAGCACAGUUUGAAAUAAAGGUUUCAAAUGCAUAGCCUGUCGAUACUUUGGAAGGAUUCUCAUCAUAACGAGUAUGCAAUUUGCUAUAAAGAAGAAUGCCCAUUACGGACUAAAUGUUUAUGUCCUCCUAAAAUUCAUAUGUUGAAGGCCUAACUCUCAAUGUGAUGAUUAUGUGGAGAUGGUGCCUUUGGGAGGUAACUGGGCUUAGAUGUGGGCGUGAGGGUGGGGCCUCAUGGUGAAAUUUGUGCCCUUGUAAGAAAAACACACCACAGGUUUUCAUUCUUCCUCUGCCACAUGAGGCCACAGUAAGAAUGUGACCAUCUGCUAGCCAGGAGGAAAGUCCUCACUGGAACCCGCCCAUAAUAACACUCCAGUCUGGGGCUUUUCAGCCUCCAGAACCAUGAGAAAUAAAUUUCUAGUGUUUAAGUCA